AGUGAACGCUGGCGGCAGGCCUAAUACAUGCAAGUCGAACGGCAGCAUAGCAGAGCUUGCUCUGUGGGUGGCGAGUGGCGGACGGGUGAGGAAUACGUGGGAAUCUGCCCAGUCGUGGGGGAUAACGUAGGGAAACUUACGCUAAUACCGCAUGCGCCCUUCGGGGAAAGCCGGGGACCUUCGGGCCUGGCGCGAUUGGAUGAGCCCACGUCGGAUUAGCUAGUUGGCGGGGUAAAGGCCCACCAAGGCGACGAUCCGUAGCUGGUCUGAGAGGAUGAUCAGCCACACUGGAACUGAGACACGGUCCAGACUCCUACGGGAGGCAGCAGUAGGGAAUAUUGGACAAUGGGCGCAAGCCUGAUCCAGCCAUGCCGCGUGAGUGAAGAAGGCCCUCGGGUUGUAAAGCUCUUUUGUCCGGAAGAAAGCGCCGGGUUAAUACCCUGGUGUCCUGACGGUACCGGAAGAAUAAGCACCGGCUAACUUCGUGCCAGCAGCCGCGGUAAU
rnacentral:rRNA from 1 species